rnacentral:rRNA from 1 species
GACGAACGCUGGCGGCGUGCUUAACACAUGCAAGUCGAACGGAAAGGCCCUGCUUUUGUGGGGUGCUCGAGUGGCGAACGGGUGAGUAACCCGUGAGUAACCUGCCCUUGACUUUGGGAUAACUUCAGGAAACUGGGGCUAAUACCGGAUAGGAGCUCCUGCUGCAUGGUGGGGGUUGGAAAGUUUCGGCGGUUGGGGAUGGACUCGCGGCUUAUCAGCUUGUUGGGUGGGUAGUGGCUUACCCAGGCUUUGACGGGUAGCCGGCCUGGGAGGGUGAACGGCCACAUUGGGACUGAGAGACGGCGCAGACUCCAACAGGAGGCAGCGGUGGGGAAUAUUGCACAAUGGGCGGAAGCGUGAUGCGACAACGCCGCGUGCGGGAUGACGGCCUACGGGGUGUAAACCGCUUUCGCCUGUGACGAAGCGGGAGUGACGGUAAUGGGUAAAGAAGCACCGGCUAACUACGUG